CUGCUUUUGCCUGUUUUAAGUUUUAUCUUCUCUAAAAAAGGGACUAUUUUUGAAAACUGGAAACCUAUGCUAUCAGCUGCCAACAUGAGACUGUCUGCUUAGCAAUAUUGACUUGAGCCCUCCUCUCAGGUGAUCCCUUCUUGACCUAGAGCUACUAGACAGCCACAGGUGGCACCUGAGCAGGGACCUGAAAACAGAGGCCUUGCGGAGAAACACUGCUUUGGUUAGAGCCUCCACAGAACAAAGUGAAAGCAAAAAGAAAGUCUGAGUACCGGUAAGCAACCAAACAAAAAGAAAAUGCUGCACAGUGGCUGUAGGAUCGAUUGGUCUGUCGGUUGGAAAAGGCCCUUGUUGAAGAUCUUGAUCCUGGUGCAGCUUCUCAUGAUGAAUGUUGAAGAAUUAUGGGCCCUUGCUCCCUCUCCUCCAAUUUUAUCACCUGUUGCCCAGGAUGCUUUUGUUUUACCCACCAUGUAUUCUGGAAACCUGUCCUUGGGCUUACCAGCUUUACCCCACCUUGAUCAUUCUAUCAAUACCUCCGGAUGGUGGAA
rnacentral:lncRNA from 1 species